GGGCGAGUGGCGGAACGGUAGACGCACCGGACUUAAAAUCCGGAGGGGUGAGUAACCCCGUGUGGGUUCGAUUCCCACCUCGCCCA
rnacentral:tRNA from 1 species